AAAAAAUCUGGAGGAGCUCACCUCUCCAGGCCCAGAGUACCAGAAGAAUCAGAGUCACAGACUCCCCGUAUCCGUAUCUGUAACACAGUUACCGUGAGUGCGUACUCGCGUUUGUGUGAGUGUAUCUGUGUGUGACUAAGCCAAGUUAACUAUUCCAAAAAGAGUAUAAAACAAACAAAUUCAAAUCUUGAAAAAAAAAAAGUAUAAAUGAGAUACAACAACCAGAAAGGCAAAACAAGAUACAAUAUCUAGAGGCCCCAGAGUGAAGUGCUUUAUCCGACUAACAUACAGCUUCCUUUCGCCGCCGGCUGCAGAAUCAGAAUCUGUAAUUGAAAUUUAGCCGCUUACGAAAUUCAAAUCACUUUUGGCAGUGCCAUCUGCAAAAAAAACUUGUUCAUCUGAAAGUCAAAAAAGUUCAAUCACAGUAACCCUCACGUUUACGGGACAGGAAUUUUAAUCAAGCCACAGAAUGCAGUCAAUGGGCGCUGGACGCUUGGCCAAAACAACGCCGUACUAAUUGUGGCCCCGGACCACGUCCAGGAAUCGUUCUUUGGACAAGGACCAGGACCAUGGCGUCAUUUGUAUGCAUCCGGAGAACACAAACAACAACAACAACACAACCAGCAACCUCAUCACUAGAAGCGGAAUUUUCGAGCAGCGGCUAAACGGAAACCCGAAGCCGCAGAAAAUCCCUCAGAAAAAAAAGGGAGGCAAAUUGGAGGAGGAGUAGAACUAACCAGAAAACCAGUCAGCCAGGCAUCCAAAAAUUGGAGAGCCACUGAAAUAGUGCACCCGAAAAUCAAAGAGGCAGCUACAAAGGAGCCAGGAUGAUGAGUGCCGGCGGAACCUACAUUUCCACGGCCAGUGUGGAGGUGCCACAAGCGUUGCAAGAUGGAGAGAAGUUUAUUCGAUGGGACGAUGUGAGUAGAAUGUUAA
rnacentral:misc_RNA from 1 species